rnacentral:rRNA from 1 species
GGUUGCGAUCAUACCAGCACUAAUGCACCGGAUCCCAUCAGAACUCUACAGUUAAGCGUGUUUGGGCGAGAGUAGUACUAGGAUGGGUGACCCCCUGGGAAGUCCUCGUGUUGCAACCCC